AAACCCCUUAAAAAUCCUUAAAAAAUUCCCUAAAAACCCUUCCAAAAAUCCCAGGCAUCGGCCCCCGCACCGCCCAGCGCUUGGAAUCCUUGGGAAUCCGCCGCCUCCCCGACCUCCGGGAUUAUCCGACAGACCUCCUGGAAAAGGAAUUCGGCUUUUCCGCCGCCCGGACCCUCCGGAAUCUCAGCCUGGGCCAAGACAAUUCCCAAGUAACUCCCUCGGGACCCCCCCAGUCUUUCAGCGACGAAGAUUCCUUCCCCCGCUGCUCCUCGGCGGCCGAAGCGGCGGGAAAACUCCGGGAAUUGCUUCCCAACCUUUUAUCCAGGAUCUCCAAGGAUGGGAGGCGACCCCGCACCGUCCGCUUGACGAUCCGGAGGGUCGAUUCCCGGGAAAACGGGAGCCGGCGGGAAAGCCGGCAGUGCCCCCUCCCCUCCCACCUCGUUCCCAGAUUUGGGGAGGAAAACCCGGAGC